rnacentral:rRNA from 1 species
UAGGGAAUCUUCCACAAUGGGCGAAAGCCUGAUGGAGCAACGCCGCGUGAGUGAAGAAGGGUUUCGGCUCGUAAAACUCUGUUGUUAAAGAAGAACAUAUCUGAGAGUAACUGUUCAGGUAUUGACGGUAUUUAACCAGAAAGCCACGGCUAACUACGUGCCAG